rnacentral:lncRNA from 1 species
CCGCUGGGGUGAUUCUGGGUCAGAUUUCGGGGUAUUUUUGGGGCUAUUUUGGCUCAGAUUUUGGGGUAUUUUAGGUGCGAUUCUGGCUCAGAUUUCGGGCGAUUUCGGCUCAGAUUUCAGGGUAUUUUUGGGGUGCUUUUGGCUCAGAUUUCGGGGUAUUUUUGGGGCUAUUCUGGCUCAGAUUUUGGGGUAUUUUAGGGGUGCUUUUUGCUCAGAUUUCAGGGGUAUUUUCGGGCUAUUUCGGCUCAGAUUUUGGGGUGUUUUCUGCUCAGAUUUCGGGGUAUUUUUUGGGCUAUUCUGGCUCAGAUUUCGGGGUAUUUUAGGUGUGAUUUCGGCUCAGAUUUCGGGGUAUUUUUGGGCUAUUCUGGCUCAGAUUUCGGGACGAUUUCGGGCUAUUUCGGCUCAGAUUUCGGGGUAUUUUCAGGCUAUUUCGGCUCAGAUUUCGGGGUGAUUUUGGGUUAUUUCGGCUCAGAUUUCAGGAUAUUUUAGGUGCGAUUUCGGCUCAGAUUUCGGGGUAUUUUAGGUGCGAUUUCGGCUCAAAUUUUGGGGUAUUUUCGGGCUAUUUCGGCUCAGAUUUUGGGUUAUUUUUGGGGUAUUUUUGGGGUGAUUUCAGCUCAGAUUUGGGGGUGUGCCCCCCGGUCCCACCUGGUUGAACUCGAGCACGUCGAGCAGGUCGAAGAGCUUCCUGUUCUUCUCGUUGUCCUUGAGUUUGACGUAGUACUGCUGCAGCCCGUGCAGCGUCAGCUUCGUCUCGUCGUCCACGAAGAUCUCCAUGGGCUGGGGGGGGAGCGCGCUCAGACCCCGCACGGGCACCCCA